rnacentral:rRNA from 1 species
UACGGGGGGGGGCAAGCGUUUGUUCGGAAUUACUGGGCGUAAAGGGGACGUAGGCGGCCAACUAAGUCCGACGUGAAAUCCCAAGGCUUAACCUUGGAACUGCGUCGGAUACUGGAUGGCUUGAAUUCGGGAGAGGGAUGCAGAAUUCCAGGUGUAGCGGUGAAAUGCGUAGAUAUCAGGAAGAACACCCGUGGCGAAAGCGGCUCUCUGGAACGGUACUGACGCUGAGACGCGAAAGCGUGGGGAGCGAACAGG